UACGUAGGGGCCUAGCGUUGUCCGGAAUUAUUGGGCGUAAAGAGCUCGUAGGCGGUUCGGCAAGUCGGAUGUGAAAUCUCCACGCUUAACGUGGAGGGGCCAUUCGAAACUGCUGUGACUCGAGUCCGGUAGGGGAGUGUGGAAUUCCCGGUGUAGCGGUGAAAUGCGCAGAUAUCGGGAGGAACACCGGUGGCGAAGGCGGCGACCUGGGUGGAUACUGACGCUGAGGUGCGAAAGCGUGGGGAGCAAACAGG
rnacentral:rRNA from 1 species